CCCAUCCACGUACUGGCGAGCAUCUCUCUUGCCGUCCGUGUAGUAACAAACCAAGCGUAUUUUCUUCUAUUUUCAUAUCCUCUGGGCUGCGGUUUGCUUGUAACUACGGCGCUUUGCCGAUCUUGAUCGGACUUGUUCUUCGGCCAACUUCGGAUCUGAACUUUUAAACCCAAAUGCUGGAAGGUUGGGGUACGAUCUGGCGGAACAAUCGUAUUUGAUUUCGGACGUAUACCUGUUCUCUGAUUAGGGAAAGUAUUGAAUGGUUGGCCGAGAAUAAUUGCUAAUAAAGGUAACACCAUAUUGACUUUCCCUUCUUCUUUUCUUAUUUAACUAGGCGUUUCUUUUACACAUAUACAUGCCAUCGUAUUCAUUUUGUGCCUUUUUACAUAUAGAUGGCGCAUGGUGAAGGGUCUGUUCCUUCCAUUGCACUAUCGAUUUGUCAGUUAACUGAGCGGCAUCUAUAUGAGCCUACUACUAGUGAAGGGGUCAACAUAGUGAUCAGACAGCAGGUGCUCACACAUGUGGAUUUGACGCGCCAUCCUCAUGGUUGGAAUGUGGGUUCUACUCUUAGUAAUUAUUCUUUUCAUCCACUAGCACCCUAUCCUAAGCCUGAUCAUGAAGCCUAUACCCUAGGGACCAGGAUGGUAGCAAAAGGUCUAGGUUGGGAUGGUCACCCAGUCGAGUAUGUUCCGCAACCCAAAGGCUAUGUUGAGUGGGGCGUCUCCGUCUUGAAUAACCAUUCGUUUUGUUUGAAAGGAGAAGAGGAGAACUCAGAUUACAUAUACGGGGCCAUUUAUUGCUCCCUCGGUGAAUAUGAAGUUUCAGAUUCGUUACUAAGGUCACUACUGGAAAGAUGGGAUCCAGAAACAAAUACCUUCCUUUUUUCAUCUGGUGAACGCACCGUGACCCUGCUUGACAUGCUUCUAAUGUCGGGUCUUCCCUUAGUUGGAGAUCCAUACAAGGAAUAUGUUCCUACUAUAGAUGACCUAGAACCUUCAAAGCUUCUGUUCCCAGAUUUUUUAUCUGGCCUUUUAGAAGAAUUCUAUCAGCUCAGCCGUGAAAAUGGCAGUGUGACUUUUCAAGUUUGGUGUGACAAUUUCUAUAACAAACGAGAGCGCACUUCAUUUUCACCUCCCUUCGAGAACAACACCUAUAUGUUGCAGCUUCUAUAGCCCACUGGCUUUGCUCUUACGUGGUUAUUGGCGGGGGGCCUUAUAUUCGGCCCGGUGUCCUUCUUAUGGCCUCUUGGAUCAUUUCCGGUCGCAAGAUCUCUUUGGCUCCUUCAGCACUUUGUUCAUUAUUUUAUUCUCUUAGAAGGAUCAGUAUGCUCCCUGUUGCUCCCUCUUAUGAGAAGAGAAUUCGGCCAGUGCAUUAUAUUGCAGGGUGGAUGGGUCUUUAUAUAAAAAAGGCAUAUAAGGACAAAGUGAAAGGGAAACAUCUUCCAGAUGUUAAGCAAUUGCCGAUGCAACCAACCAUGGUUAAAACUAUGUUUCGGGUUCCCACAAGAUUCAGUCCCGCUAAGGCACGCACUUUCCUUGAUGACCAAGCCAAUAAUUUUUUGGAAUCCUUAUACUCCAAACAACUUAGUCGGGGUGGAUCAGUUGCAAAGGUCCUUCACCAUUUCUUCCCAUCGGGGUAUGCUUCCAUGGAGGCGUGCUACUGAUGUUGAUGAUCUUUGCAUAGCCGAGCCAUAUCAUCCCGAUCGAGUUCCACGACAACUUACUUUGAGACAAUAAGUGCCCUAUGCUCCGUUGGUCAGCGUGUACACAAAGGAGGAUACUGGAGUUGCAUAUGCGUAUUGGUCACAUUUGUUACGCUCAGACCAACGAGAGUUCCAGUACCUUCUUUAUGAUGCACAUGAGGCAUUUUCUUCUAUGGCCUGGAACAACUGGUGGGUGGGAUUUAUGAAACCAUUUAAAAACAUUUUCAAUACUCUUCAUCCGGGCAUUUCGAAUGGUCCGAAUUAUAAUCCGUAGAAACGUAAUUUUCUGAAACACGGAGUGGAGUACAUAGUUCCUCGCAAGCUUUCAGAAAAUGAUUUCGUUGUUAUAAAGAAAGUCUCCGCCAGGGGUAAGGAAGAGCAUAUUGCAGCCAUCAAAUUGAAUGAAAAGAGAAUUAUGGACCAUUGGCGUCCCAUUCUGUGUGGCUUUCUCUCGAAUGAUGAACCUUUAAUCAACUCUAAAAAGAAGAAGUGAAAGGUUAAGGAUGCUGUCGCAUGCUCUUCUUCUGUCCAAAAGACUUUGACUGAUGGGAAAGAAGAAGCUCACAUGACUGAAAAUAGCUCUUUGGAGGACGCAAGGCCUGCUAUCAGAAGAAAGAUUAACACCAUUGAUGUUGAGAAUGAUUUUGGUCCAAUAGAAUUGGAUGUGCCUCUCCACGUGGGUGACCUUAGCGGUGCAGUACUCGAUGGGGGUACUAAGUGGAGACAUAGAUCAUGGUCUAGCUACGUGACCAGAUAAUUUAAUCGUGGAUGAUUAUAGUGUAUCGGGCUCGACUUCUGAUCCUACCAUUAUUUCGCCACGUCCAGACUUAAACCUACCUCCAACAGCUGAUGCUUUAAACACUCUGUCCGCCUCUACACAUGAGGACGCUCCGUUUGUGGACGAGGAAACAUCCACUCAGUUGGCGAUGCCAUCCACGGACGUUUCUUCUAUCACUGAGCUUUUUGUAGAGACCAUCGAUAAGGCGUUGGCGAGGGCCAUCGAAGGCUUAAAUGAUUCCAAUAUUGCAGAUCCUCAGCGCGAUGACAUUCUUCAAGCAGUCUAUUUGAUGCUGCCGACCGGGGAUACUGUUCCUCGAAUUGCCACUGUUCGCACUGACUUGCAAAAACUCAUUUCUUUUUCAAGUGAAAUGCAAGGAGCCCGCAAAGGAAUUGCUGAUCAUUCUCAGAAACAGGCUGAAGCUGUUAAUGCAGCGGAGACGGAAAGUGGAUUGUUGGGAGACACUUUGAAAGCUACGUCAAAGAAAAUGUCAGCCUUGAAGAAGCAGCGUGAAGAAGAGGAGAAUGUCGUGGAAGACCUUGGUGCGAAGCUGAAGGCAGCUACCUCCACGUUGUAGGCGACUGAUGAAGCCAUUACGCAGCUGGAGUCGGAACAAUCAGCCAAGCAAUCUGAAGCCAAGGAGCUGCGUGAAAAAUUGCUUGAGAUCAAUGUGAAAGGUGUUCAGGAAUUGAAGGUUCUUGAAGAGAAGGUAUCCUCGCUGGGCGAUGACAUUGCAAGCAUCAUCGCAACUUAAAGAAUUGGCAUUCUGUGCCAAACUGAAACCCCCUUUUCUGCUUUCCUUUAUUAUUUACCCAUUUUCCUUUUGCUUAUCUCAGCCAUGUCGUUUGUUCAUUCACGUAUGCUUGAGGACAAUGCAACACUUUUAUUUAGCUAGGUCCCUUGGUAUGGACUUUCUGUACUAGCGCAUGAGCUAGCUUAAGUGACCCUAUACAUUUCAUGUUGCAACCUUUAUUUAUUUA